CGGAAGCGGAAGCCGCGCCGAGAGGCUCGUGUCAGUGCAAGCCGGGGUGUCGACGGGCGGCCGCGGGAGGGCUUAGCGGUGCCUGCGGAAGAAGAAGGCGGGAGGCCGGUGGUGAGGAUCUGCAGGAGUCGUCAAGGGCGAAAAGGGACCUGGAGGGUUGCAGGAUGUGAAGCUCACCAUCAACAUGUGGAAAUGGAACUGACAACCUUGUUAAGAACAUGUGCUUUAACCAACGGAGCAACCCAGCUGCCCACUUUCAACUCAGCGGCAGCUCAGCUCUGGUGCAGCUCAUUGGCCCAUGUGGGAAUUGAACCGGCAACCCUGUUGCUCAGAGCUCGCGCUCUAACCAACUCAGCCACCCGGCCGCCCCAAGUACUUAGUUCUCUUAUGAUUUGAAGUUUGUACCUGAGACCACCUUUAUCCAGUUCCCCCACUUCCGACCUCUGCUUCUGGCAGAGACAUGCCGAUUGUCUUGAGGAACACCAAUAUUCAUUGUCUACAAUGGGCCUACCCUUCCCCGUUAUUUUGACUCUCUGUAACUGGGAGAAUUUUUAAUUCCUAAGGCACCGGGUUGGGAAUUAUUUUCCUGUUAACAAUAACUUUUCAAAAAGUAAUGUCUCCCACUCAAGUGAUCGUGAGGAAAUUCCAAGAGACAAAUAGAAAGGAGUCCUGGCUACCAGUGCUAUUAACUAAAAGCAUUCCUGCAAUUUGAAGCAGCAGAGGAAAUAAUCUAGAGAAAAAUGCACUGAGAUCAUUUGAAAGCAGUGACUUUUCACCUCCAUUUUCUCACUCAUCAAUGUCAAUUCUGUGCCAAUAAUUCCAAAUGCCAGUCUUCAGACCAGUGUUAGCCUGUUACAAAGUUUACACCUAUUCAGGAAAAAAUGCAAAAAACAAUGAAAAUGUAGGUUUUUUUUCUAAAAAGAAAAUUUUAUGCAAUUUACGUUAUUUUCC